CCGCCCGCCCUCCUCCCCGCCCGCAACCUGCGGGCGGCGGCGACCUAGCCGGGCGCGCUCCGGGCCAGCGGCGUGGGGGCCCGCGGGCCCGGCUGGGGUGGUGGUGACUGUCGCUGACCCGGAAGAAGCUUGGCUCGCCCGAAGGAGGGAAGGAUUCAUGACAAAGACGGCCCCAUUCAAUCCAGCCCUCGGAGACGCGCCUGGUAGGAAGAGCUACUAAAGGCAAAUAUUGACAAAGAUCCAGGCUUGGGAUUUGGCUACUGUCAUAAAUAAGACGUGAAUUGGGUCAUGACAGUCACAACUAUUUAAAGGCAAGUCCUGGGCCCAGGCCAGUAAAUCCUAUGGAGGAUCAUGCCACUAAUAGAAUAACUCCUUAGUGCUGAGAUAUGCUGGACAAUGUCUUACAGAAGAUGUAAUCGGAACUAUUUUGAUGGAAAGGGCUUGAUGUGGCACAUAUGCAGCAGAAGAACAUUAGGUCUUUCAAACUCACCCAGAUAUGCUUCAAGAUUUAGUACAAGUGUCACCUCUACUGUGAAGCCUUCCUGACCUCCAUGUGCUGGUUGGAUUUCUCUGUGGGGCAAGACAGGAAGGAUAUUUGGAAAUGGAGGCAAGGAAAGGGACUCCCUGAACAUGCCAUCAUCUUGGACAGUCAUGCCGACCACUUUAAGGAGAUUCUUGGGUGUAAUAGAAAUGGACCCACUUGGGAUAUGCAUACUAUUGGAAUGAAUAUUAAUGUAUGCCUUCAGUCAAGGUAAAUCUGUUCAAGAGGCACCCGUGAUGAGUGGCAGAUAUUUUUUUUAAAGAGGAACUUCAGAGUGUGUUAAAAGAGGGACCUUAGUGGAAGCCCUGAAGAGAUGUGGAAAUUAAUCAUAACACUUGAUGGAGUACAAAAAUAUGAAGUGAAUAUAACAAGGCAGUAGAAAGAGCAUCAUGGAAAAUAAAUGAUUAAAAAACUCAAAGGAAUGGAUCCAUUUGAAAAUUUGAUGAAA